UACGGAAGGCAGCAGUGGGGAAUAUUGCACAAUGGGCGCAAGCCUGAUGCAGCCAUGCCGCGUGUAUGAAGAAGGCCUUCGGGUUGUAAAGUACUUUCAGUCGUGAGGAAGGUGUUAAGGUUAAUAACCUUAGCAAUUGACGUUAGCGACAGAAGAAGCACCGGCUAACUCCGUGCCAGCAGCCGCGGUAAUACGGAGGGUGCGAGCGUUAAUCGGAAUUACUGGGCGUAAAGGGCACGCAGGCGGUUAAUUAAGUUGGAUGUGAAAUCCCCGGGCUUAACCUGGGAAUGGCAUUCAAGACUGGUUAGCUAGAGUCUUGUAGAGGGGGGUAGAAUUCCAUGUGUAGCGGUGAAAUGCGUAGAGAUGUGGAGGAAUACCGGUGGCGAAGGCGGCCCCUGGGACAAAGACUGACGCUCAUGUGCGAAAGCGUGGGGAGCAAACAGGGAUUAGAUACC
rnacentral:rRNA from 1 species